ensembl:misc_RNA Y_RNA Y RNA
UAAAGGUCCCAUGGUAGUGAGUCAUCUCAAUUGAUUGUUCACUGUCAGUUACAGUUGGAACUCCUUGUUCUACUCUUUCCCCCUUCUCACUACUGCACUUGACUAGUCA